rnacentral:rRNA from 1 species
UAGGGAAUUGUUCGCAAUGGGCGCAAGCCUGACGACGCAACGCCGCGUGGAGGAUGAAGACCUUCGGGUCGUAAACUCCUUUCGAUCGAGACGAAUGGCUUCCGGCCUAACAUGCCGGGAGAAUGACGGUACCGAGAGAAGAAGCCCCGGCUAACUCCGUGCCAGCAGCCGCGGUAAUACGGGGGGGGCAAGCGUUGUUCGGAAUUACUGGGCGUAAAGGGCUCGUAGGUGGCCAACUAAGUCAGACAUGAAAUCCCUCGGCUUAACCGGGGAACUGCGUCUGAUACUGGAUGGCUUGAGAUUGGGAGAGGGAUGCGGAAUUCCAGGUGUAGCGGUGAAAUGCGUAGAUAUCUGGAGGAACACCGGUGGCGAAGGCGGCAUCCUGGACCAACACUGACACUGAGGAGCGAAAGCCAGGGGAGCAAACGG